AUAGCGUUAGGAAUUGAUACCAUAAAGUUUUUUUAAAUCUGAAAUCUAAAUUGCAUUAAAUUAAUUUUUAUUCUUUCAGAAUGCAGUGUCCAAUCUGCCACGAAAGUUUUGCACAUAAAAUGGGGAAAGGUAAAAAGUUCUGAACGAUAUUAGGCGUUCAAACGGACUGGGAAUAGAUUGAGUUUUGUUAUAUAGAUUGACAAUUAUGUUGCACUAAUUAAAAUGCAUUAAAAAUAUUAUAAAACGACGUGAAUCAUACUUUAUCAUAUAUUCUAUCAUAUAUCUAGAUUUCGUAAUUAGGUGCAUUUACCACGCAAUAGUUCAAAAGUAUGGAUCUAGUGUAUAGUAUUUACCAACAAGCUGCCUUUGUUUAUUAUAGUUUGUAUCAAAAUAUUGAAUUAUACAGUAAUAUCUAUAGUUCAUUGUGUCGGAACUAUCCGAAGCUCUUCAUCACCAGGCUUGUACUCUUGUAGCACAGAGAAGUGAUACACAGAGAGGCAGGGAUGCCGGAAGUUGCUGAGGGCAAGGGGUGCAAUUGGUUAACAAGAGGGCAUUCUUAAUAAAAGGCACCAAUGAAAAUGAAAGGGCGUCAUGAUCCUACAUUCGUGUCAAUCUCCCUCCCUGUCACCAAUUUUUUUCGGACCGAAUACAAUUAUUUAGGCACAAUUCCUCCGUAAUUUCUCGCCAAAUAUUCCAUAAGUUAUCCUUUCCGUUUCACCUUUCGCCAAAUGGAUAACAUCCUCGAGCGACGUUUAAUUCUGUCUGUUGUAAAAGUUUUGUGCACCGGUUGCACCCCUAGUCUGCACCCGCACUGCACCCACAAAGUUGAAAAUGCAAAAGGCAAGAGGUGCACUUGCACCCGCUGCACCCGUGGUUCCGGCAUCCCUGCAGAGAGGAAACAGACACCUCGAUAACCUGAAUUUUUGUGUCACGUGUUCCACGCGCCACGCAAAAUCUUCCAGCCAGUGCCGUCGCUGAAAUUUCAUAGCAAAAGAUAGGGAAAACGCCGUUCGAAAGGUGAAAAUCGCUUUUUUUUAAAAAAAUGAGAUACCCAUGGAAAUAUUGUUCAAUAAAUUAUUGUAGAAUAACGGUAAGCGAUCACUUUUAUUGAUUUCCUUUUAUUAAAAGUGUUAACAUAACAUUUUAUUUUGCGAAAGUUUGUUUUUUUCCCUAUCUACUCCUUAUUAAAAUCGUGAAAAGCACUGACUGGGAAUUUCAGAUGCUUAUGUAUAAAAAACAAAGCAGCGAAUGAUAUAAAUUCCUCAAAAUAUAACUCUUGCAUAAAAAAAACAUGUUUACUUCUAUAAUAUGUAUAGUUUUUUCCUCUGUAUGGUCAAAAUUUAAUAAAAUAGUGAAUUAAUAUAAUUUUCUAUAGUAAAUAGACUGAAUAUAUCGGCGUGACACAAUUUGCCGCGUGUUUCCUCUCUGUAUAUCUCUUCUCUGUGCUUGUAGUGACCGUUAUGACCACAGAGUAGAGACAUACAGAGACGUAACUAGUGUACCCACUUUUUUUGUGCGCAUGCUCGGCAAGUUACUAGAUGCAUGCAUCUGAUUGGAUGACGACCUGAUGACGACUCACUUUAAACUUGCUGAGCACGCGCAGUUGAUCAUUUUUCGCCCGGUCGCCUGAAAAAAAGUGGGUACAUGAUAACGUAAUCUUCCACAGUGUUUACAACGGUCAGUUACGUCGCUGUAUGUCUUAUCUACUCUGUGUUAUGACUGAACUGCGUCAUUCCGCAUUCGUCAUUCUGCCUAAACGAUGCGUCAUUCCGCAUGCCAUUCUCUCUAAACAUAGGCUACGUCAUAGACUCCAGCUGGAUUCUACAAGGAAUCUAGCUGGAGUCUAUAUCACGUAAAGAGUCUAUCACGUAAAAACCAAGAUUUUGUUGGCAUCUCACUUGAUUGAAUAAUAUAGUUCAAGGGUGUGUAGAUGGAAAUUAUCGAGUGGAAAUUUUAUAUUUAACAAAUAUAAAAAUUUUUCGUGUUGAUAUACAGUUAUAUCAACACGAGUGGAAAUUGGGAAAACGAGAAAUUGUGUGUAUAACUGUAUAUAUAACUGUAUAUCAAUACGGAAAAUGUUUUAUAUUUGUUUUAUAAUAUAGCAAAUAUAUAAGAAAUUUUUCCGACGUUUCCGCGACAUCGAGUUAUAUCAACACGGCUCUUAGCCAAUCAGCG